rnacentral:lncRNA from 13 species
UCAUGAAAAAGUGCAUCAUUGGUCCUCAAUUUCUUAUCCCCUCUUGAGCAGCACCGUUUUCCAUGUAACUUUGCAGUGCUGUGGGUGGGCAGCAUGUCCUGCCCCUUGGCAGAAAGCAGAUGGCUCCCCCAUAUGACUUGCUUCGGGCAGUGGGGUGUCAGCAGACGUGACGCUUCUGUGACGCACUUGGGCUGGCUCUUGCCUCUUACCACUGCGGUGAGAACGUGGCUGGACAGCCUUCGGGAGAUGAGAGACACACGGAGCAGAGCCAAGUUUCUCCUAUCACCCCAUCCAGCUCAGCUACAUCAGCCAAGGUCAGCCUACAUCAGCCAGCAACUGUGGAACCCCACAGACAUGUUGGUUUUGAGAGAGAGGAAUGAAAUAUGAAUGUGCCUUCACCAGUAUUUUAUCACCUGGACAUCAAGUGUUUUCUAUCCAUUACCUCUUUCAAUCCCAGCACCAACCCAAAACAGUGGGCAAGGCUGUGUCCCCUGGGAGCGGAACAGAAAGUUGGAGAACAAGCCUGCAUGGCCAUCCAUCAUAGGUAAGAGCAGGCAAUGCUCACAUGUACCUGCACCACCCCAGGGACAAGUCCUGAUGUGGGACCCAGCGUGCUCUCAUACACUGGGCUUUGGCAAGUGUGAGACUUCAGCUCAAACAGCAUGCAUGUGACACUUCUGUCCUGCUCUGCACUCUUGUGGCAGACAUCACCAGUCAAUCACAGCACUCUCCCUGAUCCUGAAUUCAGUCCCAAAGUCCUUGUCAAGGCAACAUAUAAGUCAAGAAGACACAACCAACAAAGCGACAUUAGCUUGUGAAAGAGAACCUGCUUGCUAGACCAGCAUUAGAGACUCUCCAGCUCCUCCAAAUGUUGGUGCUAAAGUCAGACAGUCUUGGGUUUCAGCUUCAGCUCUGUG